rnacentral:lncRNA from 1 species
CCAAGUUCAGGGCUUCAGCCGCACCCGGUCUAAUGCGGACCGGCUAAUCUUUUGUCAGCAUUUUGCUAAUCAGCUGAUGAAGCAUCGCUACCAGGCCGGACAGGCUCUCGCCGAUGUGUCAAUACUUCGCAUCGGUUCGAGGAGAACACCUCUCUCUGCGGCUGGAACAAAAGACAAGCCUUAACAGCGUUUACGUCCGCUCGCAGGGAGCCUCGUGCGGUGUGGUGAAAGGAUGUCCAAACAAGAUAUCAAAGCACCGCCGGCGUGGGGGUCUUUCGGAUGAAGUGCAUUAUUACCGGUUUCCUAAAGAUCCAGGGCUGAAGAAGGGCUGGAUUGCCUGUUGCUGUCCCACUAACACGCCUCCUGACAGGGUCGAAAAAGCAAAAGUGUGUAGCUUUCAUUUCAAUUUAGAGGAUUAUGUUGAAUCGUGUAUGGUCAAAGCUUCCUUGGGUUUAAAAAAAUAAAAUAUUCACCUCAAGGAAGGCGUGAUUCCAUCUGUCAAUCUUGCGUCAAACGCGGCCAACCCCGCGGUGGUGAAAACUCUGGCCAGGAAGAGCAGACAGGACAGGCGGCACAGGCAGAACAUGGUGGACGAGCUUCUCCGAAGGCAGAGGAUCGACGAUACCGCCAGGCUCGUGGCUGGUGCCGGUGCGGCGGAGCCGAGCCGUGUGCCAGACGGUCUGGCGAAGCGCGCUGGGAUUAAAGAGGGCCGGCCAGACGACAGACGGUCAGACGAGGAAGCGGAGGACAGCCCGGGCACGGCUGGCAGCUGAUCAGGAGACAAACUCUCUGAGGGUGGAACACCAGACGGAGGCCGGUGGCCGGGCCACAGCUGACCGGCCUAUCAUCACUGUGCUGGGUCCUGACGCACAGACGGCGCCGCCGGUGCAGGACGCGGCUGAACGGCCCGUCAUCAUCACUGUGCUGCGUCCAGACGCGCAGCCGGCGUCGCCGGCGCAGGACAUCGUGGUCACAUUCGAGGAUGCCGAGAGCCAAGAAGCGACGCCCGCGACAGGAUUGCAGCCACAGCGGAAGACAAAGCCAGCUGCGGGCGAUGAGCGGUCUGGCGGUGAGCUAAUGGAGUCGGAUGAUGAAGACGCUGAAGAUGUCGUUAACUUCUUAACCUCAGGAGACGACGAACCGUCUCGGAACUCUGCGUCCAUCGCCACAGCGCUGACGCAAUCAAGCGCUGCGGUCAAGUCCGCGCAGGACUGGUGCGCAGACUCUGAUUUCAGUACUGUCUACCGUCCAGUCGGCGUGCAUUCCUCACUAGUCAACACGACCUCGACUAAGCGGUAUGUCGCCGGCCGGCUUGACGCUGAACGCUGCGGCAGGGACGGCACCGGCUGCCGGCUGCGCCGUUCCGUCGACUCAACAUGCGAUCCAAACCGCCACCUCUUCUCCCACGCGGCCCGGUUUGCAGCCGCAUUGGCCCGUAGCCGCGAUACGGCCCGAGCAAGCCAUUCUGGCUGCUGCGUAUCGUCGGGAAGCAGCCGCGUCGGCGGUAGUCGGGGGUCCGCGGCCAUCUGUGUCUGUUGGCCCAGUACGGGCCCUGCCGGCUGCUGCCACAGCUUCCAGUGGUGCCCGGGCAGCCAACGCCGGCACCUCGUCCAGAGAGAUCCCGGGGCGGACACAGGGCGCGGACGAGCAUCCGCCGCGGCCUGUCGGCCAUGCGCAGGGCGGGGCAGCGCCGAAGCGAGCUCUGCCGGCGGAGGACGGGCGCUCGGCCGGAGAGGGCGGGGCCGGCAGCAGGCGGCGGCAGCCGAGCGCCGAGCCCGAAACGCCGCACACGCGCGAGACGCCGAUCGUGACCCGCUCCAGGGAGCUGCGGCGGCGCAACAAGCUGGUGAGGCUGGAGGAGCGCUACAAGCGGCUGCUCUCUCCCCGGCUCGCAGGGCACCGGCUGCCGGCCGGAGGGCGCCAAGCAGGAG